GUAACGGCGAGUGAAGCGGCAACAGCCCAGAUUUGAAAUCCGGCCCCAGGCCCGAGUUGUAAUCUGCAGAUGGCUCUUCCGGCAAGGCGCGCGCCCGAGUUCCCUGGAAUGGGACGCCUCAGAGGGUGAGAGCCCCGUACAGGCGCGGCGCCGAGCCACCACGAUGGCCAUUCGACGAGUCGAGUAGUUUGGAAAUGCUGCUCUAAUCGCGGGGUAAAUCUCCCGUAAGGCUAAAUACCGGCCGGAGACCGAUAGCGAACAAGUAGCGUGAGCGAAAGAUGAAAAGAGCCUUGGAUAAGGGCGUCAAAAAGCAUGUGAAAUUGCUAUGGGGGAAGCGCUCGUCGCCAGACGCGGCGGCGGCUGGUUACCCGGCGUUCUCGCCGGCGCACUCAGACCGCCGCCGGGCCAGUACCGGCUGGCCGCGCGGCAUACUGCCGCGGGGAACGUGCCUCCCUCCGGGGAGGGUUAUAGCCCCGCGGAGACGCCGCGUGGCCGGCCGAGGACCGCGCGUAAGCGAGGGUACUGGCGUAAUGGCGCCCAGCGACCCGUCUUGAAACACGGACCAAGGAGUUGACCUGCCCUGCGAGUGUACGGGUGCAAAGCCCCUACGCGCAGUGAAAGCGAACGCUGGUGGGAGCCCUCGGGCGCACCAUCGACCGAUCCCGAAGUUCGCGGAAGGAUUUGAGUAGGAGCGGGGCGGGUCUGACCCGAAAGAAGGUGAACUAUGCAUGAAUAGGGUGAAGCCAGAGGAAACUCUGGUGGAGGCUCGCAGCGGUUCUGACGUGCAAAUCGAUCGUCAAAUUUGUGCAUGGGGGCGAAAG
rnacentral:rRNA from 1 species